CUUUCGACUAUAAUUUCAUCGAUGUCAAACAUCUACCUCGAUUUCUGGUCUUUCUAUUUUUAAAUCAUCCAUGGAAUCGAAAUCUUUUAAUUCGCUUACUGUCGGGCACGAAUAAAACAACAUCUACAACAUUUGGCUCGAGCAAAAGUGAUAGACGGGCAUAAGCUGUCGCUCAAAAGUAUUCAGACAUUUUUUUUAUUUUUACAGCAUAUAAUUUAGUUACGGAAUUACGAAUGCAAAGACUAAUGAUAAGUUUUGUCUGUUUGAUAAGUCUAUCGAGAAUUGUAUGUCGUUAACGUACAAUUAGAAACUAAUCCGUGAUAACAAAAUUGAUAUCGAUUAUGUUAGCGUCCAAACAUUAUGAAACACUUUUGCUAUUUAAAAUGUUCUUUAUUCUUGGAUCAUUUAGUUUCUUAACUAUACACAGAUUAAAACGUUCUUAUGAUACACAAAUACAGAGUAGGUUGUUUGGAUACAAACUACAAGAAUUAUAAAACUGGUGAUUGAUUAAAACAGUAAAAUUGAAGCCAGUGCAAUAUCGACUCGUGUAUUUAAUUUCAAUAUGAUAUUAAUAGAACAACCUUAAACAACCAUUCCCUUUCAGAAUACUCUCGGAACAAAUGAAAUAAAGUGUACAACAUUUGAAGACGACAAACGUUUCCUCUACCCAUAAAGGAAACAAUUUACCAUUAAUUUAUCCAUCUCAGCGAGCUUCGUAUCUCGUUGCAAAGCAACGAAAAUAUCUAGAUACUUAUGAGCGGAAAUGUUAACAUUCCCCGGAUACUCCUUUAUUCGCACGAGUAUCUGCGUCGGCGUCGAACCUCUACUACCCACGCUCCCGUUCAAAGCCAUCUCCAACUUCAACGCAAUCGUUACAACCACGAAGAACCAACAAAACGAAAAAAAAAUAUACGACUUACUCCCAGCCAAAUAUGCUUCCGUCCAAAAAUACGCGAAGAAUCGUAGCCGUGAAGCAGGGACAGUAAAUGCGUGAUUUGUUAUGCUUACUGAAUCGCCGAGAAGGAUUGGAUCAAUAAUCCUCGGACACGAACCAAAACUCAGCUGACGAGCGUCUGGCCGGGUCACACCACUGAACAUUCUAAACUAAGCCUAGAAGCCGGAGGGAAGCUAGCAACGCGACCUUUCUGGCCGCUAGAAAGGGUUCCAGGCCGGUUUUGCUGUGCGUGGCAGCCUCGUCGAAGCGAAAGGGGAUCCAGGCUGGUUACCGACCGUGGUGGAUGUCGCCGAAGAGGUGGCAGCGCUUCGUGGAGGGUGCUGCGAGCACGGCUUUACGCUUGCGGCCAGCGCAGCGUCAGUCGUUCGUCCAGAGACACGAACCCGUAGAACGAGCCGCUCGUGUUUUCGGCUUUCCGGGACGCUGCACGAGCCUGCGCGUCUCCAUCUAGGCGUCGGCUGGGGGUUCGAACCGACGAACCCUUGGCUUGAUAACAGUGCCACGCCAUCCGUCGCUGGCAACGCAUAAAUUGCAUGUGCCAGGCGUCAAGCGUUCAUCAGCUAGCUACCUCGUUGAUUCGAUUGUUUUUCACAUGUUUCUUCGUUGGAGGACGACCGUUUCUUUGUCGAGUUCGAGCUUAGGUGGUUUCUGUUCGGGUUAACGAGGUGUCUGCGAGUUGUGGGAGUUGAGUAUGGCAACUGACCCUUCGGUAUAUCACGCGCGAUUUUUGGCUCGAGUUUCUUUAUAUGUUGGCGACAAUCAAACGGGAAAUAGGAACGGGGUAGUGGGAACCGAGUUAAAAAAAGAAAGAAAGAAAAAAAGAAGAGAGAAGAGGAAAAAAAAAGAAAAACAUGAAUAUGAAUGAUUAUAUACCCGGUGUGUGCCGGUUGAAGUUAUUAAUAUUCCAUUCAAAACCGUGGUUUCUAUUCAGAACACUCUCUGGAAAUUCAAAUGAAUCGAGUGAAUUCUGAUCCGCGGCCAGAUUGCAGUUGGAAAGUGGACGACCAUUACCGUCCAUUCUAUAAAUUUGGAUCGUCCUUUAUGGUGGCUCGUUAAAACUAACGUAGUUACCGGCCGAUCUCUGGGAUUAAAUCGGUCAAACAAGCUGGCCAGAUGACUCGGAAAACGGCUCGGAAAACAAACGGAAGUGCUGAGCAACCUGCUAGCGACGAUAACAGGGCAACUUCGAAUUGAUAUUUGCGAUACGAUGUAAAAUUGUGUGUUCCGUCCAGGAAGAUCCGACAAACGCUUUAUUUCCGUUGCAACGUACAAGUAUCUGCUAAAUCGUGGAUACAGCGUUACUAAUUGGUAAAAUAACAUACACGGUAUGAUUAAAAACAUAGUGGAAUGUUUACAGCGCUUCUAACGGUCACUAAAAU